rnacentral:rRNA from 1 species
GAUGAACGCUGGCGGCGUGCCUAAUACAUGCGAGUCGAGCGAACAGACGAGGAGCUUUCUCCUCUGACGUAAGCGGCGGACGGGGGAGUAACACGUGGAGAACCUACCUAUAAGACUGGGAUAACUUCGGGAAACCGGAGCUAAUACCGGAUAAUAUAUGGAACAGCAUGGUUCAAUAGUGAAAGACGGUUUUGCUGUCACUGAUAGAUGGAGCCGUGCGGGAUUAGCUAGUAGGUAAGGUAACGGCUCACCAAGGCAACGAUGCGUAGCCGACCUGAGAGGGUGACCGGCCACACUGGAACUGAGACACGGUCCAGACUCCUACGGGAGGCAGCAGUAGGGAAUCUUGCGCAAUGGGCGAAAGCCUGAUGGAGCAAUGCCGCGUGUAUGAUGAAGGUCUUCGGAUCGUAAAGUUCUGUCAGCAGGGAGGAAGGAAUGUGUGAGUAAAUCUGCACGUAUUGACGGUACCCGCAGAAAAAGCCCCGGCUAACUCCGUG